GGGGGUGUAGCUCAGCUGGGAGAGCGUCGCGUUCGCAAUGCGAAGGUCAGGAGUUCGAUCCUCCUCAUCUCCACCA
rnacentral:tRNA from 10 species